GCCGGAUUAGCUCAAUCGGCAGAGCAGCUUACUCUUAAUCAGCGGGUUCGGGGUUCGAGUCCCUGAUCCGGUACCA
rnacentral:tRNA from 1 species